UACGUAGGGAGCGAGCGUUGUCCGGAAUUAUUGGGCGUAAAGAGCGUGUAGGCGGUCUGGUAAGUCUGCCGUGAAAACCUGGGGCUCAACCCUGGGCGUGCGGUGGAUACUGCCAGGCUAGAGGAUGGUAGAGGCCAGUGGAAUUCCCGGUGUAGCGGUGAAAUGCGCAGAUAUCGGGAGGAACACCAGUAGCGAAGGCGGCUGGCUGGGCCAUACCUGACGCUGAGACGCGAAAGCGUGGGGAGCGAACAGG
rnacentral:rRNA from 1 species